CCCCCCCCCCCCCCCCCCCCCCCCCCCCCCCCCCCCCCCCCCCCCCCCCCCCCCCCCCCCCACCGCGCCCCGGCUGUUCACCCACAAGCACGGGCACCGGCCCGGCACCGCGCCCCGGCUCCUCACCCGCAGGCACCGGCCCCUCACGGGCACCGGCCCGGCACCGGCACCGCGCCCCGGCUCCUCAGCAGCCCCGGAAAGCCGUGCGGGAUAAGAUCUACGCAGAGUUAAAAUUAGUGAGAAUAGAACAGUCAGUCCUCACUUUCAAAACCCAGGACUGCCAAACGUGGAAGGUACCUCUUGAUCCUCUGGAAGAAGUUGAAGUCAGCAUGGAGGUGCACAGCCUCAAAGCAAAAUUCAGCUUGAAAGCUGGCAAACUCUCUGGUGAGGCAAUGUUCUCCUGUGAGGAUCAAUGCAGCAGAGCAAGCCAAAGGGUGCAAACAAAAACCACAAUCCAUGCAGUUUGUCUGUGUUCACUUCACGAGAACAGGAAGCACAACGAACACUUGCCAUUGCAGACACCAGCAGACCAGAUUCUGUAUUCAGCAUUUUAGCACAGCAGCACAAGAACAACAUGGGAGCUAUGAUUGUGUUGUUGAAAUUCUCUGGUCUGCAGUGACAUUUCUUCCCUGUAGAGGCUCUGAGGACUGUGAAACUUAUAGUUGCUCUUGGAAAAUGCCAGGAGUGUGAGAUUUUUGUGUACCAAGUACAGAGCUGGUCAGUAUAAGUGCUUUUGGUGAGCUGAAUUUUGCUGGCAUCCUUCUUCUGAAACUUGUCACCAGCAUGAAAGGGACCCACCCAGUCUCCAUCAGUUUGAAACGAUCCUUCCACUGUUCUAAACUCCACAGGAACACUCUGUGUGUACUUCUGCCAUUAAAAUGGUCAAAUAUGAAGAUGACACUACUUCUCUAGAGACCAAGAAAAAUAUUUGAAGUCAGUGGAAUAAUAUUGAUUUCCAUGACACAACAAUUUGGCCAAUAAUCACAUUGAAUUUUAUUGACUUUGAGAAUACAUAAUUUUGAGAUAAGUCACUUUAAACUAUAACAGUCUCCAAGGCAUAGAUAUCAAGAAGUAAAUAAAAACAUUUUUUGACACAUAAGCAUUUAAGGCAGAGUCACUGAAGUGUUCUGUCACCCACACCCUUGAACUCUAGCUGGCAUUUGUCAACUUAGGGAUCACCUGAGAGCAUCACCAUCUCCUGAUUUCCCAUUUCAUUUUAACAAGGUGACCUGCAGGAACAGAUGUAUUUCUUGCCUAAUGCCCUCAGUCAGCUGCUUUCACCACUGAGGUAAAAGUUAUGCAGGACGGAAAACACUGAGCAGAUGGGUGUGUUUACAAGGGAGUUAAACUGUGUGCAGAGGCACCACUGUUUCUGGGAAUCAGUGUAGUCAGGAAAGGAUAAAAGCAUCUCAUAAUUAAUAAAAGCAUUAGUCAGUUCAAUCAUAUAUGAGUUUUUCAGGCUGUCAUU
rnacentral:lncRNA from 12 species